GACGAACGCUGGCGGCGUGGAUUAGGCAUGCAAGUCGAACGGUAGGAUACUUCGGGUAUCUGAGAGUGGCGAACGGGUGAGUAACACGUAGGUGAUCUACCCUCAAGAUUGGGACAACCCAGGGAAACUUGGGCUAAUACCGGAUGAAAGCAGCAGUGAUGUUGUUUGAAAGGUGGCGUAAGCUGCCGUUUGGGGAUGAGCCUGCGCUCUAUUAGUUAGUUGGCGGGGUAAAGGCCCACCAAGGCGAUGAUAGAUAGGCGGCCUUAACGGGUGGUCGCCCACACUGGGAUUGAGAUACGGCCCAGACUCCUACGGGAGGCAGCAGUCGAGAAUAGUCUACAAUGGCCGAAAGGCUGAUAGUGCGACGCCGCGUGAACGAAGAAGCCCUUCGGGGUGUAAAGUUCUUUUAUAUGUGAGCAGUGCUUUCUAUGUGAACAGCAUGGGGAGAGAGAUAUUAGCAUAUGAAUAAGCAACGGCUAACUCCGUG
rnacentral:rRNA from 1 species